GUAAGAAUCUUCCGCAAUAGUCGAAAGACUGACGGAGCGACGCCGCGUGAACGAUGAAGGCCGGAAGGUUGUAAAGUUCUUUUCUCCAGGAAGAAUAAGGCAGGGAGGGAAUGCCCUGUCGAUGACGGUACUGGAGGAACAAGCCCCGGCUAAUUACGUGCCAGCAGCCGCGGUAACACGUAAGGGGCGAGCGUUGUUCGGAAUUAUUGGGCGUAAAGGGCGUGUAGGCGGUAAUAUAAGCCUGGUGUGAAAGGCCGCAGCUUAACUGCGGGAGUGCGCUGGGAACUGUAUUGCUUGAGUUACGGAGGGGGAGCUGGAAUUCCAGGUGUAGGGGUGAAAUCUGUAGAUAUCUGGAAGAACACCGGUGGCGAAGGCGAGCUCCUGGCCGAUAACUGACGCUGAGGCGCGAAAGUGUGGGGAGCGAACAGGAUUAGAUACCCUGGUAGUCCACACUGUAAACGAUGUGCACUAGGUGUUGGUUCGAGAAGAAUCAGUGCCUGAGCAAACGCGAUAAGUGCACCGCCUGGGGAGUAUGCCUGCAAGGGUG
rnacentral:rRNA from 1 species